rnacentral:lncRNA from 1 species
AUUUUUGGAGAGAGAUUGGGAAAGACUUAUUUUAAUCCUUCUUAUUUUUUUAAAAAAGAUUCUGUUUAUUCACUCAUGAGAGACACAAAGCUAGAGAGGCAGAGACAUAGGCAGAGGGAGAAGAAGGCUUCAUGUAGGGAUCCCAAUAUGGGACUCGAUCCUGGGACUCCGGGAUCACACCCUGAGCCAAAGGCAGGUGCUUAACCGCUGAGCAACCCAGGUGUCCCUGAUUUUAAUUCUUCUCUAAGUGUUUGAAGAAUUCCUCAUAUUUCCGUUUUUUAUUGGAUAAUUUGAUCCAUCUAUAUUAAGAAGGACUCACUUCUGCCAUUUUGUUAUUUUUCUUUUUUUCUUUUUUGACAGGCAGAUAAAGGUUUGUUUUAUUGAAUAACUGAUCUGAUUCAUGCUGAGGCCACUGUGUACAGACAAGAGAGAGGGAGUUUUGUUCCUUGGUCUCUUCCUCCUUGGAAAGAGUCUUGAUGAUUUCCUCCUUCUUGGCCUGGAGCCGCUCUUCACGGCGCUUGCGGGCCUCCUUGGUCUUAGAUCUGCAGGCCUCAGCCUGGUCAUCAACCCAUCUUUGAUCAGUUUUCGUAUCUGCUGACCUUCUUUUUGCCACAGCGGAGGACACUGGAGGCAAGCCUCUUCUGAAGCCUGAGCAUACUCAUGGCUGCGACCGCAGCGCCGAAAGGAAAAGUGUUAUUUGUUUUCUGUAUGUCUUAUAUCUUUUUUUUUUGUCAACUUCUUCAUUACUAUUUCUCUAAUUCCUCCAAAACACUGCAAAUGUGCUGAAUUGGCUUU